CCCCUAGAUGUUCUGGGCCGCACGCGCGCUACACUGAACAGUUCAACAAGUCUUAACCUUGGCCGAUAGGUCUGGGUAAUCUUUGAACGCUGUUCGUGAUUGGGAUAGACCUUUGCAAUUAUGGGUCUUCAACGAGGAAUUCCCAGUAAACGCAAGUCAUCAGCUUGCAUUGAUUACGUCCCUGCCCUUUGUACACACCGCCCGUCGCACCUACCGAUUGAAUGGUCCGGUGAAAUCUCGGGACGGCGGCUUGGUCGCUUGCGUCCGACUGCUGAAACUUGAUUAAACCAUAUCAUUUAGAGGAAGGUGAAGUCGUAACA
rnacentral:rRNA from 1 species